CCUACGGGGAGCAGCAGUAGGGAAUCUUCCACAAUGGGCGAAAGCCUGAUGGAGCAACGCCGCGUGGGUGAAGAAGGUCUUCGGAUCGUAAAACCCUGUUGUUAGAGAAGAAAGUGCGUGAGAGUAACUGUUCACGUUUCGACGGUAUCUAACCAGAAAGCCACGGCUAACUACGUGCCAGCAGCCGCGGUAAUACGUAGGUGGCAAGCGUUAUCCGGAUUUAUUGGGCGUAAAGGGAACGCAGGCGGUCUUUUACGUCUGAUGUGAAAGGCUUCGGCUUAACCGGGGUAGUGCAUUGGAAACUGGGAGACUUGAGUGCAGAAGAGGAGAGUGGAACUCCAUGUGUAGCGGUGAAAUGCGUAGAUAUAUGGAAGAACACCAGUGGCGAAAGCGACUCUCUGGUCUGUAACUGACGCUGAGGUUCGAAAGCGUGGGUAGCAAACAGGAUUAGAUACCCCUGUAGUC
rnacentral:rRNA from 1 species